GGCUUUACAGUUACUAUGUAAUAUCGGGCUGCAAUUCCGAAGGGGUAUUUUAUAUUAAGGCUU
rnacentral:tRNA from 1 species